rnacentral:rRNA from 1 species
UACGUAGGGUGCAAGCGUUAAUCGGAAUUACUGGGCGUAAAGCGUGCGCAGGCGGCUUUGCAAGACAGAUGUGAAAAUCCCCCGGGGCUCAACCUGGGGAACUGCAUUUGUGACUGCAUGGCUGGAGUGCGGCAGAGGAUGGAAUUCCGCGUGUAGCAGUGAAAUGCGUAGAUAUGCGGAGGAACACCGAUGGCGAAGGCAAUCCCUGGGCCUGGCACUGACGCUCAUGCACGAAGCGU